CCUACGGGGGGCAGCAGUGGGGAAUAUUGGACAAUGGGCGAAAGCCUGAUCCAGCCAUGCCGCGUGUGUGAAGAAGGCCUUCGGGUUGUAAAGCACUUUCAGUGGGGAAGAAAGCCUUGGGGCUAAUACCCUCGAGGAAGGACAUCACCCACAGAAGAAGCACCGGCUAACUCCGUGCCAGCAGCCGCGGUAAUACGGAGGGUGCGAGCGUUAAUCGGAAUUACUGGGCGUAAAGCGCGCGUAGGCGGUCUGAUAAGCCGGUUGUGAAAGCCCCGGGCUCAACCUGGGAACGGCAUCCGGAACUGUCAGGCUAGAGUGCAGGAGAGGAAGGUAGAAUUCCCGGUGUAGCGGUGAAAUGCGUAGAGAUCGGGAAGAAUACCAGUGGCGAAGGCGGCCUUCUGGACUGACACUGACGCUGAGGUGCGAAAGCGUGGGUAGCAAACAGGAUUAGAUACCCGAGUAGUC
rnacentral:rRNA from 1 species